GAUGAACGCUAGCUACAGGCUUAACACAUGCAAGUCGCGGGGCAGCAUGGGGGUUGCUUGCAAUCCCCGAUGGCGACCGGCGCACGGGUGAGUAACGCGUAUUCAACCUGCCCUUCACCACGGGAUAACCCGGCGAAAGUCGGACUAAUACCGUAUGUUGUCCAUUGACGGCAUCCGAUUUGGACGAAAGGCUUGGCGGUGAGGGAUGGGGAUGCGUCCGAUUAGCCAGACGGCGGGGUAACGGCCCACCGUGGCUACGAUCGGUAGGGGUGCUGAGAGGAAGGUCCCCCACACUGGAACUGAGACACGGUCCAGACUCCUACGGGAGGCAGCAGUGAGGAAUAGUGGUCAAUGGGCGUAAGCCUGAACCAGCCAAGCAGCGUGCAGGAUGACGGCCCUAUGGGUUGUAAACUGCUUUUAUGCGGGGAUAAAGUGGCCCACGUGUGGGCUUUUGCAGGUACCGCAUGAAUAAGGACCGGCUAAUUCCGUG
rnacentral:rRNA from 1 species